GUGGGUUUGUAAGUCGGGCGUGAAAUCCCUCGGCUUAACCGAGGAACUGCGUCCGAAACUGCAUGGCUUGAGGACGGAAGGGGAAGGUGGAAUUCCUGGUGGAGCGGUGAAACGCGUAGAUAUCAGGAGGAACGCCGGUGGCGAAAGCGGCCUUCUGGUCCGUUUCUGACGCUGAGGUGCGAAAGCUAGGGGAGCAAACAGGAUUAGAUACCCUGGUAGUCCUAGCCGUAAACGAUGGGCACUAAGUAGAGGGG
rnacentral:rRNA from 1 species